rnacentral:pre_miRNA from 1 species
CCUGUUGCCACAAACCCGUAGAUCCGAACUUGUGGUGAUAGUCCGCACAAGCUUGUGUCUAUAGGUAUGUGUCUGUUAGG